UGCGCAGGCGGCCGUGUGUGUUAGGUGUGAAAGCCCGAGGCUUAACCUCGGAAUUGCGCCUAAAACUACACGGCUAGAGCAUUGGAGAGGGUAGCAGAAUUCAUGGUGUAGCAGUGAAAUGCGUAGAUAUCAUGAGGAAUACCAGAGGCGAAGGCGGCUACCUGGACAAUUGCUGACGCUCAGGCACGAAAGCGUGGGGAGCAAAAGGGAUUAGAUACCCCUGUAGUCCACGCCCUAAACGGUGCACACUAGGUCUUAGCGGAUUCGAUCCCGCUAGGGCCCAAGCUAACGCGUUAAGUGUGCCGCCUGAGGACUACGGUCGCAAGACUAAA
rnacentral:rRNA from 1 species